rnacentral:SRP_RNA from 2 species
GCUGGGUGUGGUGGCGCCCACCUGUAAUCCCAGCUACUUAAGAGGCUGAGGCAGGAGAAUUGCUUGAACCCAGGAGGCAGAGGUUGCAGUGAGCCAAGAUUGGCUACUGCACUCCAGCUUGGGCGACAGAGUAAGACUCUGUCUCAA